GUAGAUGAUGAAAUGCACUGGGCUCUGAGCAGGUUUUCUGCAGUUAAAUUACUGAUGGAAUUGCACUUGCCUAGAAAGCAUUUUCUGAUUA